GUCCAAGAUGCAAGUCUGACAACAAGAUGGCACAAAUAGGUGAAGAUGAAGUAGCCUGGAGAAGAGGAGACUCCAAGGAGAUCUGUUGGCGACAUACAGGGGGCAGCUUCUGAACCCCCUGUUUCUCCUUAGGUCCUUGACAGUUCCAAGAUCUUCUGUUGCCUAUAACAAGCUGAGUCCAGUAAUGUUCCCAGACCCAAUGAAGAAGAGGGGACUAUCUCAUGAGCAUACAGCUGAGGUCAUUCAGCCCACCUCGCUAAGCCUUACUCUGGACUGAAAGGGCCAUCUGGAGACCAAGACCCACAGGAGGUUGAGGGACUAUGUGCCAUUUCAGUUUGGCCACAUGGAGAAAACUCACAGCACAAGUGGAGAAAAAAGACACUCCACACUCAGCCUGCUGCUUGGACUUCUGCUGGAUCAGUGGACUCCUCCUCCUUUCUAUGCAGUGAAUACCUUCUGACUGCAGCUCGUGCCCUUGAAGAAUUCCAGGGACUGCCCAGGAGGGCCCUGGAUGAUCCUCUCCUGGAAGGCAGUCGGCUGGAGCCUCAGCCUCUGCAUCUGACCUUGGCUGGAGCCUGGAGUGCUGGCUCUUUUCAUCUGAAGAAUCCUUCUCCAGGUAGGACAUGACAGGGGCUGAUACCCAAUGAGGUAAUGAUGUCCUUCCGGAGAAGUAGACAUGGUGGAAGCCUGGAAAAUCCAUGCAGCACAGGUUUGUGCAGUGGUGGCCAGUGGCUUAUUGUGUGUGCGUGUGUUUACAUGUAUUUAUAGGCCACCUCUAAUUGCCAAGGCCUUCCUAGGCAGCUUACUAUGCAUAAAAUAUAUUAACAGAGUAAAACACAUUAAAACCAGUUAAAACAUAACAUUUAAACAUCUGUAAAAGCAAUUUAAAAGGGCCACAGCAUGCAGGCACAAUGUUAAAAACUUUCCUAUAAAGAUAUGUCUUUGCCUGGCACUGAAAGGAAAAUAAAGAUGGCGCCAGGCGAAUUUCCCUAGAAAGGGAGUUCCAAAGAAGGGGAGCUCAUGUGUUCUCAAUGCCCCUUUUAUUCUAUGUAGGGCUUUGCUUUUAAUUGGCAACAGUCUCCACAGCAAACAGUGGGGCUUCUUUUGUAACCUUCCCUAGACCAAAAAGAUAAAGAACUUCUGUGAAUAACACAGACAGAAUGGCAAGCAAGAGCUCUUCUAUAGGAGAUGGUUUUCUGACUUAGGACUUCACAAAAAGUAUCAGACUAAAAAUUAACCAAACCCCAUCCUGCUCAUGUCAUAUGCUCUGAACUCUGAUGUUGACAGAUGGCCAUCUCCAGUUCGGGACAACAAUCACAGGCAUGCCAAAAGGCAGGCAGGUGGUAUGAAGCUAAGGCACCGAUACGCAUCCCAUUCAGGCAUGAGUGGAGCUUUCUAUUCUGGUGGCUUGGGAGAAGAUGCAUGAGUAAGAUCAUCACUUUGGAGCAGGGGUAGAGUGAGGGGAAUUUUCAAGGGUUGCUGGGGCAUAGAAGACACUGAUCACACCAUAAAACUUAAGGAUCCCUUUUGACUCUGAGUAACCCUGUGAUACAUCAGCAUUGCUGAUGAUUCUCAAGGAGUGUUUCAGGAUAGCUUUCGUGCCUGCACACCUUGAAGAGCAAAGAUUAACUACAGAUGCUUGAUUGGAUGCUUGGUUUCACCCCUCCAGCAUGAAUGGUAGCCAUGGUAGGGCCAGAGAGCCCACCCCAGCGUUUCAUGAAUGAGGAGCUAUUCAUCAGGAUAGCUUUUCAUAGGUUCCCCACCUAUCAGGGAUAGCUUUUCAUAGGUACCCCACCUAUCAGGGAUAGCUUUUCAUAGGUACCCCACCUAUCCCUAUCCUGAUUCUGACAAACCUGAUUGUUUGUGCUGCAUACUUUUAAGAACAUCAAAUAAGGGUGUGAAUCUGAUGGGGAAGCAUCCUUUUCUUUCAACAAUAUACAUAUUAGUGCAUGUGAAAAAGAGAUGUUGAUCUUGCAAGAGUUCCUCUGCUACAAACGUCACACGACUAUUAUAUUGCUAAAUAAACAUGCUGUAAUCGCAAGUAGUUUCCAGAGGAAGUGAUGCAUUCUUGAAAAUCGUUGUUCUACGGUAGCUGCUAUAACUGCAAAUCAGCAGUAGCAAUUUUCCAAAGCAACUGUGUAGAGCAGAAAAGGGAAAGUCCAUAUUGCAAAAAGGUGGAAGUACCAUCCCAUGAAUAGAAUGACAUUAUGGGGAGAACAUUCAGUGGCUAAAGCUGGAAAAAGGAGUGGCAAGAAGGAGACAAGUCACAGUCAUAACUGAAGAACAAUUUCUUACAGAGUUUCCACCACCUGCAGAAAAGGAAGGCAGGUCUGGAAAUGUGAGGCUAAGAAAGAGACCUGCAGCACGGUGGAAAUUAGGAAUGCUUUGAAAGUCCCCCUCAUUCCAAUUUCCAAACUUGCAAUUCCAAGCUUCCCUAUCCUGAUUCUGACAAACAUCAGGAAUGCUUCACUGAGUCAUUAAAACGAUAAUAAAAAUGAUAAUAAAAAGAAUAAAAAUUUUCUGCAGUGCUCGGUAUAAAAGUGUUGGGGAAGAUCUUUGAAGGCCAGGUGAAUUCUUAAAAUUGUCAUGUGGAUCUAACUUUUUUAUAUGUGACUGCCAAUGGUUUUUCUCCCCCACACCCACCCCACGUUAAAAAAAGAAAUUCAUUCCCAUUGCUUCAAAAACAGUACCUUGUUUGUUCUCAAGCGCCUGCCUGUGUUCCUGGGUGAGAAUAAUUUAGCAUCUUUGCCAGAGGGAACAUUUUGUCCCAGGAAGUCCACCAGCCUGCUGAGAAAAGCUGAGCUACUACUGGAAGUGAGGGCACAGUGGGGUUGGUGGGGGGGGCUGUUUGUUAGAUUCUUUUCCAAGGAUGAAAGAACCCUCUUGGACAGCUUGGAUUUACUGGUAAGGGCCAUGCCCACUGAAUGCAGUGAGAAUUCCUCCCCAUCAAGCAAAGGUUAGUUCAUUCUGUGGUGCAGCAGACAGAGGGUUGGACUGGACCAGGAUGCUCACCAGGUGACUUUGGGCCAGUCAUACACAGCCUCUCAGCCUAACCUACCUCACAGGGCUGUUGUGAGAUGCCAUGGAGUGAAAAAGGA